rnacentral:rRNA from 1 species
UACGUAGGGUGCAAGCGUUGUCCGGAAUUAUUGGGCGUAAAGAGCUCGUAGGCGGUUCGGUAAGUCAGGUGUGAAAUCUCCACGCUCAACGUGGAGGGGCCACCUGAUACUGCCGUGACUCGAGUCCGGUAGGGGAGUGUGGAAUUCCCGGUGUAGCGGUGAAAUGCGCAGAUAUCGGGAGGAACACCAAUAGCGAAGGCGGCACUCUGGGCCGGAACUGACGCUGAGGAGCGAAAGCGUGGGUAGCAAACAGG